rnacentral:rRNA from 1 species
AACGCGAAGAACCUUACCAGGUCUUGACAUCCUUUGACCACCCUAGAGAUAGGGCUUUCCCUUCGGGGACAAAGUGACAGGUGGUGCAUGGUUGUCAUCAGCUCGUGUCGUGAGAUGUUGGGUUAAGUCCCGCAACGAGCGCAACCCCUAUUAUUAGUUGCCAGCAUUCAGUUGGGCACUCUAGUGAGACUGCCGGUGAUAAACCGGAGGAAGGUGGGGAUGACGUCAAUUCAUCAUGCCCCUUAUGACCUGGGCUACACACGUGCUACAAUGGAUGGUACAACGAGUCGCAAGGUCGCGAGGCCAAGCUAAUCUCUUAAAGCCAUUCUCAGUUCGGAUUGUAGGCUGCAACUCGCCUACAUGAAGCCGGAAUCGCUAGUAAUCGCGGAUCAGCACGCCGCGGUGAAUACCUUCCCGGGUCUUGUACACACC